rnacentral:rRNA from 1 species
AAAGUCGUAACAAGGGUCUCCGUUGGUGAACCAGCGGAGGGAUCAUUACUGAGUACUACACUCUCUACCCUUUGUGAACUAUUAUACCUGUUGCUUCGCGGCGCCGCAAGGUGCCCGCCGGUCUCAUCAGAAUCUCUGUUUUCGAACCCGACGAUACUUCUGAGUGUUCUUAGCGAACUGUCAAGAACUUUUAACAACGGAUCUCUUGGCUCCAGCAUCGAUGAAGAACGCCAGCGAAACGCGAUAUGUAAUGUGAAUUGCAGAAUUCAGUGAAUCAUCGAAUCUUUGAACGCACAUGGCGCCUUCCAGUAUCCUGGAGGCAUGCCUGUCCGAGCGUCGUUUCAACCCUCGAGCCCUGUGGCCCGGCGUUGGGGAUCCUGCCACGGCAGGCCCCUAAAACCAGUGGCGGACCCGAAGGGCCUCUCUCUUUGCGCAGCUCGCAUUCGCCUCGCAUCGGGAGUCCUCGGCGUCCUGCCUCUAACACCCCCACAAGCCCGCUCGGCGGCACCAAGGUUGACCUCGGAUCAGGUAGGAAUACCCCUGAACUUAAGCAUACUCAA